rnacentral:sRNA from 1 species
AUGGUUCCGGGGACAGUUAGGGCGGCGGAUGGAGGUCAGCGGUGGUGCUCGCUGCGGUUUGGAAUCACUUGCUAGGAGUCUUGUCUCUCUGCCACCCAGGACAUCAUGGCAGCUCACCUGGUAAAGCGAUGCACGUGCCUCCUGAGAGAAGCUGCUCGUCAGGCCCCUGCCAUGGCUCCAGUUGGCCGACUGAGACUUGCCUGGGUAGCCCAUAAGACUCUGACUUCCUCAGCCACCUCACCCAUUUCCCACCUCCCAGGUUCCUUGAUGGAGCCGGUGGAGAAGGAACGAGCAUCUACUCCCUACGUAGAGAAGCAGGUGGACCACCUCAUCAAGAAGGCCACAAGGCCAGAGGAGCUCCUGGAGCUACUUGGUGGCAGUCACGACUUAGACAGCAAUCAAGCAGCAAUGGUACUUAUCCGGCUCUCUCACUUGCUAUCUGAGAAGCCAGAAGAUAAAGGCUUGCUCAUACAGGAUGCCCACUUUCAUCAACUUCUCUGUCUGCUCAACAGUCAGAAAGUCUUAUGAUGCAAGACUGAACAUU